AGAAGAGGCAUUUUCUAUCCAGACCUGCUCAAAAAUAUCAGAGCUCUAAGCUUAGCUACUUGUAAUGAUUCAAGGGAAAAAAUGCAAACCUUUUUCAGUAAAGCAUGAUUGAAAUUCCCCUUUAAUUCUGUAAGUGAGAUUUAGGGGCAGUUCAAGCAGAUUGGAAAUAGAUGAGAGAAUACUUUCACAGUACCCGUUUCUCUGCAAGAAGAAUUGUUGCCAGCCCCAGCAGAGUAAUGCAGAACUAUGGGGAAUCCAGCACCCAUUUCUUUUGAUGAGAUCACUAGAAACUACGGAAGCAAAGUUCACCUUCAGGCAUUGAAGACAAAGUGGUUCUUCUGCAAAUAUGGGAUAUCUAUUGAAUUCACAGCUCUCCCUCCAGACUUCUACUGGUUUUGGUGAGGGGUAAUGGGAAUUCUUGAACAGAAAUUCAAUAGAAUGGAAAUGCAGAGCUUCACUUGUCAUGCUUCUAAUUUUAUGGAUCUAUGCCCUGAUUCAAUCUGCCAUUCUGAACAUCUGGUGUGUCUUGAAAAGAAGAUUCUUUCACAUGGAGUCUCGUUCCUGAUUUCCUCAGCUAUUAUUUAUUAUACUGGUUGGGCUUUAGAAGGGAUUGCUGAACCAGUGUGGAUAAUCUAAAAAAUAAACUUAAUCUAAAACUAAUGCAAACUGCACAGCAUAGGAGAUUUAGAAAAGCCUA
ensembl:lncRNA